UUAUCCUUUGUCCCGACACGACGCAACGCUGCGUGUGUUCCUCUCGCGAAAAUACAUCGCCGCGCCGCGCCGCGCCGAGAUGCGAGAUAAAAGGUAUAAGUUUCGCGUGAGGUAGCCUGUACGAUAAGAGGCGGACGGGCGAUAAGGACUACGCUCGGCAGACGUACGCACAACGACGAGGCGGUAGAGAGCUGAUUCCUCGAUGUGAUUCCUCGACACGAUCUCCUCUUAAGAGACCUAGUUCUGUCGUCACAGAGUCACGGUCGUCGAAGCGCAUUGUCAUUUUAUCGACACUUGGAGAGUUUUUAAUCACGAAACUACGCGCGUCAAAUCUCAGAUAGCUCCGUCAUCGUACGCCUUAAAGAGCAAGGACAACAGUGACAGUUAUCUCUCGGAAAGAUAUUCGCUCUCGGCCGGAAUUGCGAAGCGAAAUUGUAACGAGGGGCAAAACGAACGAGAGCGAUAAGCCGGCAAUUAAUUAUUCGGGGCAAUAAUCCGCUGCCGAUGAAGAAUUGUCAGGUGGAAAGUCAACUUGAUGCUGGUGCCACGUAUCAAGAUUAAUAAUUCGUUUCGAAUAAUAAAGAAGCGAGAAAUAAUUCAUCCCUUUUUUCAAAUGAAAAUUAUAAUAUCCAUAAUGAUUAUAAUAAUUAUAAAGAGAGAAUAGAAUAAUUAAAAUUAUUUUAAUUAUUGUAAAAAUCUUUCUUUUCGCGAAUUACUAAAAUUUUCACAAUUAUAGUUACAAUGAUGUGUAAAAUUUGCAUAAUCCCGCGUGGAAGCUGUUCUUUUUAUUAAAAUUUGUUCGAAUAUUAAACAAAAAUUCCGGAAAAUGUUUACAAUUCCCAUCGUUUUCCCGCAAUCACUUCAUCAUCAGCGAUCAAACAAAAUAUCGAAAAAUCAUCAUCGCGAGUUCGUUCAA